CUAAUCGCAUCUUUCCCUUCGGGGACAGAAGUGACAGGUGGUGCAUGGUUGUCGUCAGCUCGUGUCGUGAGAUGUUGGGUUAAGUCCCGCAACGAGCGCAACCCUUGCCUUUAGUUGCCAGCAUUAAGUUGGGCACUCUAGAGGGACUGCCAGGGAUAACCUGGAGGAAGGUGGGGAUGACGUCAAAUCAUCAUGCCCCUUAUGCUUAGGGCUACACACGUGCUACAAUGGGUGGUACAGAGGGCAGCCAAGUCGUGAGGCGGAGCUAAUCCCUUAAAGCCAUUCUCAGUUCGGAUUGUAGGCUGAAACUCGCCUACAUGAAGCUGGAGUUACUAUAAUCGCAGAUCAAAUGCUGCGGUGAAUGCGUUCCCGGGUCUUGUAC
rnacentral:rRNA from 1 species